rnacentral:lncRNA from 1 species
UAGAUGAUGAUGUAUAUUUUGGUGAGAUGUUGGAGAGCUACUUAUGUAUUUGAAGAUGAACUUGUAUUAUAUUUUGGGAGAUGUAAAUGUAAUUGUAGUACACUGAACUUUGGCAAGUUGCGAAGUUCGAGUGUUAGAAGGGCCAUUGGAACUAUUCUACAUCUUUUGAAGUGUGGUCGAGAGGUUUUCGGCAAGUUAUUGGAGUGAAUAAGUGGUUGGAAGCGCAAAAGUGCAUUGAAAUGGUAAAAAUCUGUAUUUUGUAUUUGUAGUAUUCUGAA